UUAAAGCUGUCUUAUACAUCUAUCAGCGAAAACAACAAUUCAAGGAUUUUCCACGCUUUCGUGCUUCGAGAAGAGCACUAAUAAAAAAUUGUAAACCAAUUAGGAAAUCGAAUUUUCAAUUCCGUGUUUAUCAAAGCAUUGAUCUGCUUCGUCGAUGAAAUGGAAGAUUCCAGCUAGUGUUGCGACUGUUGAAACGUGCUGUAUUGAACACUCAACACUGGCAAUGUGAUUUGUCAUCGAUAAAGGAUAAUUGCUGAGUAAAAUGAGCAAAAGCCAAAAUUGUCAAAUAUUUUUAUUUUCUUAACGCUGGACAGACUCUAAUGUGGACACGUUGAUGAAAGAUUUUUUGUCGGGAAAUGGAAAUUUUUAUUCUUCUGUAAUUAUUACAGAUAUGAAUCUAAUAGAACUAAAGAUUCCAAUAAUUAGAUUUUUAAUCUACAUGGA